CCUGAACUGGGUCACACCUCAUCAAAGUCUCACCUCUAUGCACUGUCUUCCUGGAAACAUGGGCUGACACUGGAACAAAUGUAUUAACCAAAUCAAAGAUCCUCAUCAGAGCUUAUCCACUCAAAUGGAUGCUAUUUCUCCUGCCUCCUGCCUCCUGCCUCCUGCCUCCUGGUCUCAUUGCUCAAGUAUGCCUAGGUGUCAUUUUGAUGGCUUUCUCUGACUGUUUGGUGUCCCUUUCAUCCACGUGAUACUGGUGGAUCCUGCGGUAUGGAGGUAAUGAGUGGUUCUUCUUCCACAAAGCCACAUGGAGCGAGCUUCCAGAUCCUGCAGGUGGCCUUUUAAAAUAUGCACCAGAGACACAGAGUACCACGCAGGAGCUGAAAAUGUUCCAAAGACUUCUGGGUUCUCUCUCCACUUUUCCCGUCUUUUCAACCCCCUUGCCUGACUUGGAUGAUGCGAUGUUCUGAGGAAUUCCUUAAUCCUAGUCACUCCUCAGUCAGGCACAUCUACGAAA
rnacentral:lncRNA from 1 species